UGUAAGGGAUGUUAACUGAAAUUUUGAUCUCGCUUCCGCAUUUGAUAUAUUUAAAUACUUAUUUCAUUUUAAUAUUUCCGGGGCCGUUACAGUUGGUAUCAGAGCCGCGUUUCCUCGGACCCAUCCCUUACACUAUAGUCCUUUAAAGAAAUACUCACCGAUUGGUCGUUACUCAACCAUUCCUUGUAAAUGCAAGUACACAGAAAUGAGGAGAGGAAGGCCCCCACUAAACCGAGCGGCCCAAGAUAAUUCGCUUCGGGAGGAUUUGGACAGAUUAUAUGAGAUGGUGGAAGCUCUCGUAGCUGCCCAGCGAAGGCAAGAGGAGAGAAGGGAGUUACCCGGACCUCCUCCGCUAGCGCAGGUUGAGCCCCCGUUACAGCAGGCUGAUCCCGAGCCACCCCGG
rnacentral:lncRNA from 1 species